rnacentral:rRNA from 1 species
UACAGAGGUCCCGAGCGUUGUUCGGAUUCACUGGGCGUAAAGGGUGCGUAGGUGGUGAGGUAAGUCGGAUGUGAAAUCUCCGGGCUCAACCCGGAAAUGGCAUUGGAAACUACCUUGCUGGAGGAUUUGAGGGGGGAUUGGAAUACUUGGUGUAGCAGUGAAAUGCGUAGAUAUCAAGUGGAACACCGGUGGCGAAGGCGGCAUCCUGGACGGUGACUGACGCUGAGACGCGAAAGCGUGGGGAGCGAACAGG